rnacentral:rRNA from 1 species
GACGAACGCUGGCGGCGUGCUUAACACAUGCAAGUCGAACGGAAAGGCCCUGCUUUUUUGGUGUUCUCGAUUUGCGAACGGGUGAGUAACACGUUAGUAACCUUCCCUUUACUUUGGUAUAACUUCAGGAAACUUGUUCUAAUACCUUAUAGGAUCUCCUGCUGCAUGUUGGUGUUUGGAAAUUUUCGGCGGUUGGGGAUUGACUCGCUGCUUAUCAUCUUGUUUGUGGGGUAGUGGCUUACCAAGGCUUUGACGGGUAGCCGGCCUGAGAGGGUGACCGGCAAAAUUGGGACUGAGAUACGGACCAGAAGCCAACGGGAGGAAGCAGGGGGGAAUAGUGAACAAUGGGAGGAAGCAUGAGGAAGAAAAGCAGCGUGCGGGAUGAAGGCCUUCGGGGUGUAAACAGAUUUAGAAUGUGACGAAGAGUGAGUGACGGUAAUGGGUAAAGAAGCAACGGCUAAAUACGUG